GCCCCAGUAGCUCAGCAGGAUAGAGCAGUUCCCUCCUAAGGAGAAGGUCAUGUGUUCGAAUCGCAUCUGGGGCGCCA
rnacentral:tRNA from 1 species